GCCCCGGUAGCUCAGGGGAUAGAGCGUCCGCCUCCUAAGCGGAAGGUCUCAGGUUCGAAUCCUGAUCGGGGCACCA
rnacentral:tRNA from 1 species